rfam:Danio rerio chromosome 1, GRCz11 reference primary assembly.
GGCCUAGUUGCCUAAUGGUUAAGACAUCUGCCUUCUGAAGCUGGUUAUUGUUGGUUCAAGUCCCAUCUGGGUCA